rnacentral:tRNA from 1 species
CGGGGUGUGGCGCAGCCUGGUAGCGCACUUCGUUUGGGACGAAGGGGUCGCUGGUUCAAAUCCAGUCACCCCGA